UACGAAGGGGGCUAGCGUUGCUCGGAAUCGACUGGGCGUAAAGGGUGCGUAGGCGGGUCUUUAAGUCAGAGGUGAAAUCCUGGAGCUCAACUCCAGAACUGCCUUUGAUACUGGAGAGCUUGAGUCCGGAAGAGGUGAGUGGAACUCCGAGUGUAGAGGUGAAAUUCGUAGAUAUUCGCAAGAACACCAGUGGCGAAGGCGGACUCACUGGCCCGAUACUGACGCUGAGGCACGAAAGCGUGGGGAGCAAACAGGG
rnacentral:rRNA from 1 species